GCUUGGUGUCCCAGGUUGCUACACUCCCGAAGUGAAUGGAUUUAUCGCUGUUAGGGCCUUUUUGUUUAGGGCCUAACAAAUAUUGUUAGUUUUGCCGAGAGCUGGCGCCGAGCCCUGCCCUCGUGGUGGGCCGUACCCACGCCCCCUGAGCGCGGAGUCGCGUGGCUCCGGAGUUUUGUUUUUUUGAAAGGAGUCUCCCAAUUGUCCGUGGAGUUUUUUUUGCGGCACAUGGAGUCUCUGCCUUCGCGACCCAGACCUUUGAUGUGAACACCUGCUCCCGUUACGCUCGGGUCCAGCGUCCGGGGCGGGGCUCGAGGCCGGGUGGAGGAGGGGUGGGGGCGGGGGUCUUGGUCUUGGGUGAGACCUGCAGAUACGGUCGGGCUGAAGGAGUAGAACUGGCUUCUAAAUGCCGGAAAAUCCGAAGGAACUGACUGCAGAAGGCACGUUUCCAAUUUUCGCGUGUUUUAAGUGCACCCUCCCGCCACCUCUCCUCUGGACAUCCCUCAUCCUUUUGAAGAUUGCCACACCUGGGCCCCUCCUAGAGUCUCCUCUUUGGAGGAUUCCUCACCUCCGAGAGAAUGCUUAGGAACCCACCUGAAUGAUUCCAAGUUAAGGUGUGGAAAGGCAGAAAUCUAGAUUUUUGAAGGCUCUAGGUUAUGUGUGUGUUUCUUUUUAUUGGGUUGUCAUAUUUGCACAUCUAGAGGUACUUUGAGAGCUCAUUAAAUCUUUACUGUUGCUGUUUCAGCAAUUUCCAACCAUUCUCAUACUUUCUGUCAUGUUGGGUUUCUGUCAUGUUGGAUGUAGAGAGGGCUUUGUUUUGCUUGAACAUUGAAAGGAAGUAAGUUAGGGAGACAGUUUUGCAUUAUUGAGGCAAGUUUCUCCACUUGCUGGCUGUUCUACGUAAGAAGUCAUUCCAAGGUGGUGGAAGGGAUGAUUCAAAAAUCAGGAGCGGGGAUGCACCUUGCACCCUCAUUUUACACCGGAGACUGCAGUCUCAAAAAAAAUUUGGCCUCUUCUUUGCCAGUUAUCUCUGACCACAGACAAGUACUUAACCACUGAGGACCUUCUUUUAAAAAUCUUAUUACAAAAGCAGUAUUCCUUUAUAUUAGAAUUUUCGGAGAUACAGAAAAGCCCAC
rnacentral:lncRNA from 1 species